rnacentral:rRNA from 1 species
CGUAGGGGGCAAGCGUUGUCCGGAUUUACUGGGCGUAAAGAGCGUGUAGGCGGCCAGGCAGGUCUGUUGUGAAAACUGGAGGCUCAACUUCCAGACGUCGACAGAAACCGCUUGGGCUAGAGUCCGGAAGAGGAGAGUGGAAUUCCUGGUGUAGCGGUGAAAUGCGCAGAUAUCAGGAAGAACACCAAUGGCGAAGGCAGCUCUCUGGGACGGUACUGACGCUGAGACGCGAAAGCGUGGGGAGCGAACAGGGAUUAGAUACCCUGGUAGUCCACGCCGUAAACGAUGGGUGCUAGGUGUGGGGGGUGUCGACUCCCUCCGUGCCGCAGCUAACGCAUUAAGCACCCCGCCUGGGGAGUACGGCCGCAAGGCUA